CCUACGGGAGGCAGCAGUCGAGAAUCAUUCACAAUGGGGGAAACCCUGAUGGUGCGACGCCGCGUGGGGGAAUGAAGGUCUUCGUAUUGUAAACCCCUGUCAUGUGGGAGCAAAUCAGAAAGAUAGUACCACAAGAGGAAGAGACGGCUAACUCUGGGCCAGCAGCCGCGGUAAUACAGAGGUCUCAAGCGUUGUUCGGAAUGACUUGGCGUAAAGCGUGCGUAGGCUGGUUCGUAAGGCGUGUGUGAAAGGUGCGGGCUCAACCCGCGGACGGCACAUGAUACUGCGAGACUAGAGUGAUGGAGGGGGAAGCGGAAUUCUCGGUGUAGCAGUGAAAUGCGUAGAUAUCGAGAGGAACACUCGUGGCGAAGGCGGGUUCCUGGACAUUAACUGACGCUGAGGCACGAAGGCCAGGGGAGCGAAAGGGAUUAGAUACCCUAGUAGUC
rnacentral:rRNA from 1 species